UCUUUCCAUUGAAGAAAAAACACCAAUCCGUCUUUGUUUUCAUCCAAAUCGAAGAAGAGAGGUUCGUCGCUUGAGUGUACACUGUGUCAACGUUGUCCUAGAUCAGUAUUUGUGUGUGGCUAUAUAUACCCACAUUUUUUCUUUCUCUUUUUUCUUCAUUCCCACAAAAUUGUUUGAGUAUUUUUGUUAGUUUUGUUUGAUUUUUAAUUUAUCUAUGUAAAUUUUAU
rnacentral:lncRNA from 1 species